GCCAGGCGUGGUGGCUCAUGCCUGUGAUCCCAGCACUUUGGGAGGCCGAGGUGGGAGGAUCGCUUGAGCCCAGGAGCUCAAGACCAGCCUGGGCAACAAAGUGAGACCCCAUCUCUA
rfam:Nomascus leucogenys chromosome 7b, whole genome shotgun sequence.